AAUAAGUGUAGUUUUGCACUAUUCACAUUCAAUGUUUGACUGUUCAUUUUAUUUGAAAAAUUUUUAUGAUUAAUAUUUUUUAUUGCUAUUAGAUGAUAAAACAUAAAUAGUACUCUAUGUGUGAUAUCUUCAAAUUUUUUACAAAUUUUUCAAAUAAGACAGACGGUCAGGCAUUGGACAUGGAUAUCCACGGCUACUUAUU
rfam:Oryza glaberrima chromosome 1 Oglab01_0049_11, whole genome shotgun sequence.